GGUUACGUGUGAUGAGGUGUUGGUUGGUGGGAAGUUUCCAGGGCAACCUGCACGGGCGGAGCGGAUCGGUUUCUGUACAGCACAGAGCAACAGAAUUAAAGCACUCGGGUAUUACGGUGUAAGAAUUAAACUCACCCAAACCGAGGGGUGAGGCUCAACUGGAUUCCAGUGGGAAAAAAGUGAGGUAGUUUAUUUUAAAUGGAAAUAUCAGAUAAAAUGCUCCACAGCAGUUAGAGGUUUGCUUUAAAGUUUAUAGGACAUUUACCAAAUAAAAUUCUAAUACUUGACAGAUGUGGUAACAAUAAAUAAGUAUAUUUACUUAGUGAUGAUGGAAGUACUUAGAAGUAAAAGUACUAACAUUACAAUAUAAAAACACAAAUGAUCCCUGUGAGUGUUACAUUAUUAGAAAAUAGAUUAUUAUCAUAAUCAUUAGUGCCAAAGUAGCAUUUACUUUCACAGUUUUUCAGCUCAUUUUAACUAGACUAUAACAUUUCAGGGGGGAAAUACUGUAAUCAAAUGAUUAGUUUGUGGUGGUGUUUGACUUUCAGUAGUGUAAGAAGUAUUCAGAUACUUUAUAUAAGUAAAGUACAGUACUAACAGAUGGAGGCAGUGGUAUUCCAGCAGCUCCUGUGUUCUGCUUGGUAAAAUUCCUGUUUUUAUCAAUGGAGUCUGGUACUGAUGUAUAGUGAAGUUUCUGGUUAAACUAAAAGGAUCUUACUCUUUAAUAAAAAGGCUUAACUCUAUAGGAAUUCUAUCAAUAAUGUUGUCAGACACUUACAGUAACAAUUUGAGCCUGUCAGUGGCAUAAACACUUUAGCAGAUGUACUUUGACAUGGACAACUGGCCACUGGAUUAAAUUAGAGCAGCUGUGGUUGGCUACAUCGUUCUUGAUCAAUUCUGCACCGAUUACAAAGUUUUUGUCUCUAUCAAUCAUUUAAACCAAAAACAUUGGAAAAGGGGUUAAAAAAAAAAAGCCAGAGUUAUCUUUUAAAGCCACAAUGACAGUAGCACUAAACUCAAAGUUUGUUGGUAUUAGCCACCAUUAGUAUUAGCCACCAUUAGCGGCUAUAAGCUAAUGGCGACACCAGACCAAGUAAGAUUGAACUGAACUUAAUAAUUUCAAUUUUUAAUUUGUAAGUGGAAGAUUCUUAUUUCUUUUUCCACAAGCAUACAGUCUCAAUUUAAUAUCUCUUCGUCUCAGGAGCAAAUAACAUUAAUUACAAAUUGCUGGAUCUGUGUUAACACUACAAAUAAUGUGCCAUCUAUAGCGGAUAUUUUUUAAUCAGCCAGUUUCUGUUCAUUAAAUGUCACAGUUUCUAUAAAUAUCUAAAGCUGGGUGAACAAUCUGAUGUCGUAUCAUGGUGUACAACAUCUGCAGAGUCUUCCAAACAAACUCUUUUUGUCAAAUAAAGUGAUUUUUAAUUCUGAUUUUAACUUCCAGGAAAGGGACAACUUAACUGUCGGUACAAUGAUGAUUAUGAUUAAAAAAUAAAUAGAAAAUAAUGGCAAUUACAAUGUGUUACAAAAUAUGUGGAAUAGUUUACAUAUUAAAAAAACUUUUUUUCUAGAAAUUUGCAGUUAAAUAGUCUAUAAUUUCCAAAUAUAACAUUAUUGUGUUGCUCAAAUUGGCAAAUAACAUUAUUUGUCGUUGCCUUGUCGAGGCAAUGUCGGACCGCGAAGAGUUCAGUCGGAAAAUCAUCCAUAGAAAAAAACGUCAGCUUUUAAAAAGUGGUAGUAAGAAUAAUUUCAAACUUUAACUGCAUUACUCAGCUGACUGUCUGAUUUCUCUCAUACAUGCGUCAUGUAUGUAUGUAUGACCUCAAAUUUUUACAAUUGGUUUAUAAUUUUCUAACAUACAGUAUGUAUACAGUGCCAACAAUGAUCCAUUAUCCAACUAAUAACAUUAAAAUUACCAUGAUUAACAGUUCAUUUGGUACACACACGUUCUCUAAUGAAAACAGCUGAUUAUACAGUACAUAAACCCGCGUGGUGAUGGGUUAUACAUGUCAAACGAUUUAAAAACAUACAAAUAUCUUCCGAAUGGCAGAAAAUGCCACGACAACACAGCAUUUACAGUAUGCUUGAAACCCACAACCCCCUCCCAAAAGAGGCUAAAAUCAACGGAGGAGAACGUGGGAGUUUGUAUAUAUUUCACAGUGCUGAAGGAUGUCGGAGACACAAUGAACCUCAGCGUUCUCCCAACUUCAUGUUUUAAAAAUGUCUAUUAUACAUCUAGGCCUGGCCUUUAAAGGCUGGGCUUGCUUUUUGUUUCCUGUGUGAGGCAGAGGACUCACUUGGAUCUUUUUUUAAAUUCCUUCAUCUGUCUUUUUACUGCCCUUAUCCUACAUCAGUAUUACAUAUUAAAGGAUAAAUCUGGUGAUAUUCUAGAUUUGUCUUAUCGAACAAUAAAUGGAGGAAUCUCUGUCUGUCUUUCAAUUUUCUCGACAACUAUUCAUCCAAUCAAAGUGAAAUUUAGCGGGUGUGUUGCUCAGGACCCGAGUAAGUGCUGUGUCAACUGUGAAGUUUUGUGGAGGAGCGGUUCUCGAGAAAUCUUCAAACAUUGUAUUUCUACGUGUUUCUUGACAUGAGCAAAAAGUUGGAACUACACUAUUAGGGCAGUGUAGCACCUGGAGAAUUUACAGCAUCAACCCGCCGUCAUUCAGACACUAUUGGAGCAGAGCAGCCAACUCCAGCAGUAACAACUGAAUGAGGACUACACUAGUUUUGCCCCAAAUACUCAUUGGAGCACCAAAUGUGGAUUAAUCCACUGCUGAAAAUAGUCCUCAACCAAUGCACUAUUUCCACCUCUUUGAUAAAAAUUACAGUUACUAGUUGUUUACUGAGCCUUUAAAAGAAACUAAAUAUUUGUGAGUUGUUUUUGAAGAUUUACAUCUUCAGAAGGAACCAACAGGCUUGCAGAGUCAGGAAGUGUUGUUGUUGUUGAUUUUAGUCUUGUCAUGCAAUUUGUUGACAAUAAUAAAAACACAGAAUAUCAUAAGCCUCAUCCUUUAGUGCAGUGGUUCCCAAACUGGGGAUUUUUAUCAGGUAGGUGAGAGUACAGCACAGAAAGAAGGGCUGUUGAGUAAUGAACCUAAAGAACUUAAAGAAGAUCUCUAAUGUGAAUUACUAUUUAAAAGAAACGAGAGAACCUGGCUAGCUGUUUCCCAGUUUAUCUGCUAAGCUAAGCUAACUAGUGACUGGCUGUAGAGGACAGAUAGAACUCUUGGCAGGAAAUACCAAACAGCAGUUGUCACAGAGAAAGAGCCUGUAGUCUCCAAGGUCAAAGAGGGAGCGUCAUGCUUGUCGUUUUCUUCAAUAUUCGCUGGGUUGUGCAACGUGAAUUUGUCCCCGGGGUCAGACUGUCAACACUGAGUUCUACUGCAUCGUUCGGAGGACAUCCAGAGCAAACAACCUGAAUUGUGGACCAGAGGGUGCACCAUUAAGUUUCGUCGCUCCCCACCCGCCCUACUCCCGCGAUUCGGCUCCUUGUGACUUCUUCCUCUUCUCCAAAAUUAAAUUCAAGCUGAAAGGUUGCUGUUUUGACAAAGUGAUUAAGAUGAAUCACAAGUUGCAGAUGUCGCUUGACGCACUGGGAGCUGUGUAUCGCUGCGUUUCAAAGGCGAUUGCUGCCAAAUUUAAAUCAGAUCCAGUUUUUACUUAUGGACGUAGUCUCUCGUAUGUUUGGGUGUUUGAAACAGUAAAAGUUUGGGAACCACUGUAUUAAUGCGUCCACUAACUCCUCAUAAACACAUGCCAGGUUCCAUCAUCCUCCACUUCAAUUAUUAUAAUCUAUAGAUACAGAUCCUUCAGCCUGUGAUUUGUGCUAUAGUUAAAAUGCUGGUCUGCAGUCAGUGCCUACUGUUAUAGUCUUCACAUGUGGAGUGUUUUCCUCCUGUUUCCUCUGUGUUGAAAGAAUCUCAAAGUAGAGCAGGACACUUCAAAAUGACAAAGACACACAAAAACACAA